UAGAGUUUGAUCCUGGCUCAGGAUGAACGCUGGCGGCGUGCUUAACACAUGCAAGUCGAACGGUGAAGCCCCGCUUGCGGGGUGGAUCAGUGGCGAACGGGUGAGUAACACGUGAGCAACCUGCCCUGGACUCUGGGAUAAGCGCUGGAAACGGCGUCUAAUACUGGAUAUGAGCCUUCAUCGCAUGGUGGGGGUUGGAAAGAUUUUUUGGUCUGGGAUGGGCUCGCGGCCUAUCAGCUUGUUGGUGAGGUAAUGGCUCACCAAGGCGUCGACGGGUAGCCGGCCUGAGAGGGUGACCGGCCACACUGGGACUGAGACACGGCCCAGACUCCUACGGGAGGCAGCAGUGGGGAAUAUUGCACAAUGGGCGGAAGCCUGAUGCAGCAACGCCGCGUGAGGGAUGACGGCCUUCGGGUUGUAAACCUCUUUUAGCAAGGAAGAAGCGAAAGUGACGGUACUUGCAGAAAAAGCGCCGGCUAACUACGUGCCAGCAGCCGCGGUAAUACGUAGGGCGCAAGCGUUAUCCGGAAUUAUUGGGCGUAAAGAGCUCGUAGGCGGUUUGUCGCGUCUGCUGUGAAAUCCCGAGGCUCAACCUCGGGCCUGCAGUGGGUACGGGCAGACUAGAGUGCGGUAGGGGAGAUUGGAAUUCCUGGUGUAGCGGUGGAAUGCGCAGAUAUCAGGAGGAACACCGAUGGCGAAGGCAGAUCUCUGGGCCGUAACUGACGCUGAGGAGCGAAAGGGUGGGGAGCAAACAGGCUUAGAUACCCUGGUAGUCCACCCCGUAAACGUUGGGAACUAGUUGUGGGGUCCUUUCCACGGAUUCCGUGACGCAGCUAACGCAUUAAGUCCCGCU
rnacentral:rRNA from 1 species